rnacentral:rRNA from 1 species
CGAAAAGGAAGUUUCGACGGGGGCCCGCACUAAGCGGUGGAGCAUGUGGUUUAAUUCGAAGCAACGCGAAGAACCUUACCAGGUCUUGACAUCCGAUGACUAUUUCUAAGAGAUAGAAAGUUACUUCGGUACAUCGGUGACAGGUGGUGCAUGGUUGUCGUCAGCUCGUGUCGUGAGAUGUUGGGUUAAGUCCCGCAACGAGCGCAACCCCGCCGUUAGUUGCCAGCGGUUCGGCCGGGCACUCUAACGGGACUGCCCGCGAAAGCGGGAGGAAGGAGGGGACGACGUCUGGUCAGCAUGGCCCUUACGGCCUGGGCGACACACGUGCUACAAUGCCCACUACAAAGCGAGGCCACCCGGCAACGGGGAGCUAAUCGCAAAAAGGUGGGCCCAGUUCGGAUUGGGGUCUGCAACCCGACCCCAUGAAGCCGGAAUCGCUAGUAAUCGCGGAUCAGCCAUGCCGCGGUGAAUACGUUCCCGGGCCUU